rfam:Bacillus thuringiensis serovar israelensis ATCC 35646 sq1773, whole genome shotgun sequence.
AAAUAAAUAGUUAGCUACACUCAUAUAAUCGCGGGGAUAUGGCCUGCAAGUUUCUACCGAAGUACCGUAAAUACUUUGACUAUGAGUGAGGACGAAUAUAUU